rnacentral:rRNA from 1 species
GCUACCUUGUUACGACUUCACCCCAAUCAUGGAGUCAUACCUUGGGACGGCUGCCUCCNUUGCGGGNUAGCUGACCGGUCUUACUAGUCACANCACCUACUUUCGUAGGAUGAGACGGGCGGUGUGCACAGAGGCCCCGGAGAAACGUUAUCUCACCGUCAGCAGUCGNCUAGAUCGCUGCCUGUAUAUCAACUACGACGAAUCUGCGCAGUCUUUCNUCGCAGCNACGAGUGUGCAGCAGCUGCAUACUCGCCGAANGCUGACGGAGCGGCUUUUUGCCGAAUUAGUCUCCCUCUCACGGGUGUUGCGCACGGUNUGCACNGACCAUUGUACNNCACGUGUGUAGCCCUCGCUGAGCAUCAUUAGAGAGCGCACUCGAUGAGAGCANCUGUAGCAUCGGNUAUCCCACAUUCUUUUCUCCGNUCGAUAUNGCCGAGAGGAGCAGUCUAUCGCUGACAGAGUGCUCCAUAUUGGAAAUAGAUGGGGCCAAAUCUAGGCAGACUNAAAGGGGUUGGCGNNUCNGUUUGCCGGGGAACNUUAAAACCCAAAACAAUCUCUCCACGGACACGAAGCCUGAACGAACCGAGCCCAUGCAGGGCGACCNUAUAGUAGGCGGCCCUUGCGGGGCAAAGAUCGGUUUAUUCNCCAACCUCCAUCCCGGAUUCNCCAACUUCCCAAUUUUAACUGUAAGGCCCACCACGGGUCAAAGGGGUAAUGCGUUUUUCCGGCCUGUGUUGGCCUCGGANCCGGAAACUUUAAAAUAUCGCCAACCANUGGCCAUUUGGCAAUCCCGNCCUCUUGGUUGGUCCGGGGGGCCGCCCCCCGGUCCCANAUUCUUCACCUUUUCUCGGUAAGUGGUAUUGCAGGUCCCUUUUUGCCGAACCCGGUCACCGUUCACCCUCCAGGGCAGA